CGACUUCGAGUUCGCCGAGCCGCCGCGCGUGACGAGCCUGCAGAACACACAACCACUGCCAACGUUCAACAACUUCGGCGAUGACGUUUACUUCGUGGCGGACCAGCGGGGUUACGAGUCCGUGGUGUACCAUGUCGCGGGGCAGUACCUCAAGACCGACCGCAAGUCCGGCGCCAUCACCGACCCAAGGCUCAAGCUAAACACGGUGGUGCGGGAGAUCACCUACUUCCCCAGCGGCGUCGCGGUGAGGACCGAGGACAACAAGGUGUACCGGGCCGACUAUGUCGUGGUCUCCGCCAGCCUCGGCGUCCUCCAGACCGACCUCAUACGGUUCAAGCCGCAGCUGCCGUCGUGGAAGAUCGUGUCCAUCUACCAGUUCGACAUGGCCGUGUACACCAAGAUCUUCCUCAAGUUCCCCAAGAGGUUCUGGCCGGAGGGGCCCGGCAAGGAGUUCUUCCUCUACGCUAGUGGUAGGAGAGGGUACUUCCCGGUGUGGCAGCAGUUCGAGAAGCAGUACCCUGGGUCAAAUGUGCUGCUGGUCACGGUCACCGACGACGAGUCGAGGAGGAUCGAGCAGCAGUCCGACAACCAGACCAUGGCGGAGGCGGUGGCGGUGCUCAGGAAGAUGUUUCCUGGGAAGGAGGUGCCGGACGCCACGGAGAUCCUCGUGCCGAGGUGGUGGUCUAACAGGUUCUUCAAGGGCACCUUCUCCAACUGGCCCAUUGGCGUCAACCGCUACGAAUACGACCUCAUCCGGGUAAAAAUAUCUACUACAUUUGUCUUGCAUUUGAGUCCUUCUCCGCUAUCUGAUUUUGUUCUUUGAUUUAAAUUAGGCUCCCGUUGGGAGAGUUUACUUCACCGGGGAGCACACGAGCGAGAAGUACAACGGAUAUGUCCAUGGAGCGUAUCUUGCAGGUACAUAAAAACUAGUUCUGCCUCUCUUUUUUAGAUUCUCAGGCUCUGCAUUGUUAAGAGCUUUUUAACUUCCCCUUUUCCGUAUCCUAAGGUAUUCACAUGUGAUCUGACGCUGUUUUCUAGGUAUUGACUCUGCUGACAUUUUGAUCAACUGUGCCAAGAAGAAAAUGUGCAAAUACAAUGUCAAGGGAAAGCAUGACUAACCCAAAGGUAACUAUACAAGUAUUUCAUACUAGUACUGCUAGCAUUUAACCGAUAAAAGUUGUUUCUAACUGUUGCUCCCCUCAUAUGGUAUUCCGAUCUUAUCUUAAUAAUUUUUUCCAGUUGCCUAAUAAUGGUAUCAUAUUUCCCCCCGUGUUGCAGGUUAUUAACCACAACAACAGAAACACCAGAAGUUGUGGGUCAAUAAAACCGAGUUUGGGCGCAAGCAUUAUUCCGGUGUUAUGAUUGUUUGGUCAUUCUUCAACGGCUUCUUCGGAUACCCAUUUCACAAAAAAGAAAAUAACUCUUCACAUGUGAAUUGUGAUUAAGCAAGCUACCAACUGGUUAAUAAAGUUGUACAUUGUCGAUGGCUGCUUUUUUUAACUCAAUGCAUUGCAUUAAACAGUGUGCGAAGUCAAAUCGCUCGCCACGAGGACAAAUACACACGGAUCACAUCCGUCAAAUACAUAGUCAGGCCAUAAGCGUUCCCUUCACAACCAAAGCAUGCGCUACUUAAUUACAUAUUCUGGGACAGUGUUCAAUCUUAUACCUCACGAACUAACUACGAAUAAAAUUUCUAAGCCGAUCAAAUAUAACAAACAGACAGAAGAAACUGACGCCCUCCUCUUGGAUUGCUUCUUUCAGCAGUAGUGCAUCAGUUUUUAAAAUAAUCUUCACAACCCUCAACUCCAACAUUAGUCUAAGCCCAGCUUCGGCAGCAAGCAUCUUAGCAUGUAAGGCACUUUGAAUGUUUGGAAGGAAACAUGCAGCGCAAGAUACCACCUCGUCGUCUUGGUUUCGGAGCACAGCGCCCCACCCGCUACUCAACUUUGUCGCCUUAAAAGAGCCAUCAACAUUUAUCUUAAUCCGUGUCGAUGGCUGCCUUGACUGGCUAGGCUAGAGAAUAAUUGGGACGAAGGACCCGUAUGUGCGUACGUACAUAUGCCGAUCCUAUCUGUACCCAGUAGUAUAACGUGUAGCAUGCCAUGGUUGCCUACUGGAGUAGGUGAGUCGCCGUGCUUCGCCGCGUCGGCUGUUGUCGGCGCUGAUAGCUCAUGACCAAUGCAAACAGACUCUUUGUUCGCAAACUUAGAACGAAAAUCAAGCCCACACAUCUUUUCUGACAUAUAAUGAUGAGACGAAAGCAAACAGCUUACGAUAAAACUCAUAAACAUCAAGCAAAGUAGCAUCGAAUCCCACUAGGUUUAUAAUUCUAAGAAGACAUGAUCUUCCCGAAAGCUUACUGGAUCGACCUCGUGGGACAUGCAUGCCUUGGCCCAAGACCGACCGGGAGACAUGAUUCCACACGCCCUUAUGGAGCAUACUCCAGCUGCACGUUUACAAAGUGCAAAAAGAAGCACAUAUGAUCUCAACAAGGAGGCACCCAUACACUAUACUUCCAUCUAGUGAUCUCGUUGGUGCCAGGUCCGUCCAUGGCACACUCAACGAACUUUCAAGCAUGCUUCGGCUUCAGCCUAAACAGCGUGUCGCAUCUCCUCUUUUCGCACCCACCAGUUCCAAGGGCCAUAAAAUAUGGUGCAAUCCCAAUGGAUGAAUCUGUUUUGUGUCAAAAUAAUUAAAACUGAGGGGCCGGCAAUCAGAGUUUGAUAUGCCGAAAGAGAAACCAUUAGAGCAACUCUAGCGGAUUCUUUGGAUACUGGCUAAUUUUUUUUAAAUAUUGCAUUUUUUUAUUCUUUUUGACAAAUAAUGCACCAAAUCAAAAAAAUUGAAAAAUAUACCUGCUUCGGCCUUGUUGUGGCCGAGUGGGAGCCGUCGGCCCCGCCCAAGCCGACAGGAGGCUGUCGGCCCCGCCCCAGCCGACAGGAGCCUAUCGGCUUCCACGUGGCCGAUUAGUGGCCAGUCGGCUUUGGGGAAGCCGAUAGGCCACUAGUGGCAGCGCCUCCUCCCCUCUCCCUCCUUUCUCAGCUAUUUCUUCUCCCUCCUCUAUUUCUUCUCCUUAUUUCUUCCCUUAUUUACUUUUGCUGUUUUUGAUGGAAGUGUCAUCUUUUUUCCUCUUUGGAAUUUUAUGUUAGCUAUUUUAUGUUAGCUCGCAAUUUUAUGUUAGCUAUUUUGCCUACACGUCUCCAUUCCCGCCUAAUUUUUCGCACCACCUUUCCCGCCUAAUUUUGCCCGUUCCGUUUCCCGCCAACUAUUUCUCUUAUUUCGCGCCAAAUCUUUCCCUCCUCUUUUUCCCGCCAUAUUCCUGGUCAUCUAAGUCUAUAAAAGGAGGCAUUGGACUGCCUUCCUCCAUCAUCCAGCCUCACUUGAGAACACUAGCACUGCCUUGCAUCCUCCAUCAUCCAGUGAACAUGAGUUUGCCUUGCUCGGAUCAGAGCAUCAGGCCUAAGAAAAUGCAGAGUGUGAGUUUGCCUCGGGGUGUGGAAGCAGUUCGAUGUUGGUGCGGUAAUCUCUGCAAGGUGAAGGAGGUGACGGAUUUUUCAGAUUAGUUGGGCAUGAAGUUUUUCAUGUGCGCCAAUUAUGAAUCUGAUCCGCCCGAAUCUAUUUUUGCGUACCUCAGGCCUCCGGUAUGCUCAAGUUAUCCAGAGUAAAUAUGUUGUUGAUAUUAUUGUUUACUUGAUAUUUAUAUAUAUUUUUUGUAGUCUCCUCCUCCUCUCUGCAUGUACUAUCGUUGGAUUGACACGGAAAUGCCGGACUGGGNGGUGAUGGAAAAGGGAAAUAUCCACGCUGGACUCAGUAGAUUUAUUAUAAUUUCAGCACGUUGUAUCUUAAUUUGAGCAAGUUGUAUUUUAAUUCCGGCAAGGUCUAUCUUAGUUUGUCUGUAAUCUCAAGUUAUUGGUAGUAUAUGUGUUAUCCACGAAGAACGAACUGAGCAUUUUUGUUCCCGCCUUGCUUUCCCGCCAUUUUGUUCCCGCCUACCUUUCCCGCCAUUUUGUUCCCGCCUACCUUUCCCGCCAUUUAUUUCCCGCUCUUCGGCACCUAUAAAACCCUCUCCACAGCAAGGUUGGUAAGGAGUGUGCUCAAAAUGUCUCAUUAUCCUUUUGAUCGUAGUUUUCACAGUGGUAUGUCAGAGUGUCUUCUACGCUUGGCUAGCAAUUUCAAGAUAGUCAAUAAAAUAGUUUCAUGGGACGAACUCAUCAGUAGUGACACGCUACUGAAUGAGGUUUCUCAUGCAUUAGCUAGGAAGGGGUGGCCUGCAAGGACAUAUGAGGAGAUUCGGAAGGAACUUCUGCGGUUGAAUGAAAGGUGGAAGAAGAAAGGGCAGCACAUACGCGGUGGAGGUGGAGUAAAACAUCCUUUUUUAUGGAUUGACGAUAGCGAGGACGAAGACGAUAUCUUCAUGCCGAGUAGCAAGGACAAGAGGGCAGCAUCAACGAGUGCCAAGAGUACCGCUUCGUCGAAGGGCCAGAGCUCUGCAUCAUCGAAAGAUGACGACGACUUUAUGUAGUUCUUGUAUGAACUCUGCAUCUUAAUGUAUCUUAUUUUAUGUAUCUUAUUUCAUGUAUCUUAUUUUAUGUAUCUCCGGAAUCUUACUUUGUUUGUAAUCUCAAGUAAUUGAUAGUAUAUGUGUUAUCCACGAUGAACCAACUGAGCAUAGAAAUAGAUAGGAAUAAGUCUCAUAGAUAAAAUACACAUAUGUCUCAUAGAUAAAAUACACAUAUGUCUCAUAGAUAAAAUACACAUAAGUCUGAACUGAACAUAGCAGGGCAACGAGUUUGCUUCACUCACGAUGUCUUGGUUGGCGCUCUGGGGGUGUGGGGGGUGUACUCCAUCCCCACCUGUGGGGGGCCUAACGUUACGAGGAGGAAUCUCGGAUCCAUCCUGGUCAUACUGUGUAUCCUGUGUGGGCCACGGUGGAGGAGUCGAAAACAUGUCCAACCACAUGUUUUGCUGUGAUGGUGGCUCAUCUGGUUCACUCCCUAACCCGGAUCUGGACGCCGACAUCUCUUGCAGCUCUCCUGUCCCUAACAUGUCUCUGUGUGCAAACAUUUAGUCUGUUACGUAUCAGCUCAUAUUUCCAUUGUUAGUUCUGCUUGCAGAGUUUCUUGAAUAGAUUCAUGAGGUUCUUAUUUCUAAAUUGCGAGAAGAAAUUUGCCCCUAGAUGGCGCAUGCACCAGCGACUCUGAAUGUGCUGCCAAGGAGCUUGUUCACCGGGAGCAGGGUUUGACAAUGUCUUGAUCGUGUUGAGUAUACCUGCAUGCCUAUCAUGAAGGAUGCACACAUUCUGCUUAUCUUGCACAACAACUAUUUUCAACUGCCUGAAGAACCAUGUCCAACUCUCGAUGUUCUCGCUCUCCACAAAAGCAAAUGCAAGUGGGACGACUUGAUUUUGCCCAUCUUGACCUAUGGCUGUGAGGAUCUGACCCUUAUACUUGCCAGUGAGAAAUGUGCCAUCAACACAUAUCACCGGUCGACAAUGUUUGAAAGCUUCAAUGCAGGCACCGAAAGAUAAGAACAUCCGAUGCAACACCCUAACCGUUGGGAACUCUGGCAGGUACAACUCUUGGAUGUCAACAUACGUGCCAGGAUUCCGGUUCUGCAGUGUCUGCACGAGCCGAACAACAGAGUCAUAUGCAUCAAAAUAUGAACCAAAUCUGGUCUCCAGUGCCUUCUGCUUAGCCCUCAAGCCUUGCCAUAUGAUAUGUUGUACUUUAACCUGACGAAGACUUUUUCUGGAUAGCCUUCACUUCCAUCGCCUUGCACUCCACAAUCUCGCUGUAAAGCAAGCGAGCUAUCACAGUGGAAGUAAGGUUGGGAUGAUCUUGAGGGAUGCAUGGAAUAACACAAUUAUGACUAACUAAGUCACUUAUGACCCAGCUUAUGUCGUACUUAGGGAGAUAUCCAUACACCCUAGCGGGACAACCCUGAUUUCUACAAACCAUUGUCAACUUAUCCGGACAAGAUACUUGAGCUACAAAUACCCUUUGAGUGCACAUUGCCCAAUUAAGGAUGGCAUCCUUCAGAGCUUGUUUGUUCGGGUAGAGGGCACCUGUUGCAAUGUUGUUCUGGUGAUACUGCGAGGCAGAAUCAUGACCGUCGUUCACCAACAUUGCAGAUGAGAAGUCCUGAUUCCAUGAUGCAGGAAUAGGCACUUCAUGUGCGUGCUCUUCUCCAUCUGAUUCGACGGAUUCAUUGAAAAUAUCACCCGCUAUAUCUUCUUCAUGCAUCACGUUUUGCAUGUGCCCAUCUAUCUCGUCGGCAUCCGCCUCACCGCUGAGAUAAUCAUCUGCAUCUCCCCCUUCUGCAUGACUACUCUGGCCUGCUUCGUAAAAAUCAUCCCCAGCAUGGGACGCAUGAAUUGACUGUGAAUCAUGCAUCCCUACACUGCUCUCACCAUAUUCAAAGCUACGUUCCGCUUCAGGUUCAGUAACCGGCUUUAGCACGGGGAGAAGUAAGGCCACAGGAUGACAUCCCCUACGCUCGCAAGAUUGUAACAAGCGCACCCACUGGUCGUCCCGCUCUAUAUGCUUCAAAUACCAGAAAAUAUUACCAGUGGACCGGGUCCAUAAUGCAUGAACACCUACGGUGUGUGUUUUAGUAUUGAACCCUAAACAUCGCGCAAGACAUUCUGUCAACUGAGUAACAGACCAUGUUUUAGGGGAGGACACCUGCACCUCUGUGUACUGAAAUUCACUAAGAUCAGCUCCCAUCUCAUUUGUUUGAACGGUACCACGACCAUAGUGCAAACAUAACGUCACUAAAUCAGACAUCUCUGCUGACCUAACAUAUUAUUCAACAAGGAAAAAUAUUAGAAGAACGACAAACGGAAAUAUAUUUUCCAAAUCUAUCGGAGAACCUAAACAUAUUUACACUACUUCAUUUACUAAACUUAAUUUAUACUAAUCUACCGGAGCACCUAUAACUAGUUAAACAACUAAACUUAUACUAAUCUAUCGGAGCACCUAAAACUAGUUAAACAACUAAAUUUAUAUUAAUCUACCAGAGCACCUAAAAAUUGUUAAACAACUAAAUUUAUACUAAUCUACCGGAGCACCUACAACCAGUUAAACAACUAAAUUUAUACUAAUCUACCGGAGCACCCAAAACUAUUUGAACAACAAAAAUAUUUUACCCUUGAAGCGUGCGCAGAAACGAUGAACGACGAACGAUGAACACCGAUAUUAAUCCCACACCACCACCUCCAACUCCACCAAAACAACCAACUACACCCACAGCACCACCACCACCACAAAUAGCCUCAAAACANUCAACCUCCACCACCACCACCAAAAAUAGCUUCAAAACAUGCACCACAAACUACCACAUUGCGAGUGAGAAGGAUAGUUUGGAUGCCCUCCUCCUUACACAACAAAUGUAUGGUUCAAAAAGUGGAAAUGGCAGAUUUUUUGGGUGGGGGAGAAGGUAGGAGGAGAAAGAAAGAAAGGAGAUAAGGUAGAAAGGAGAAGGAAGAAAGAGGAAGGAGGAAGAAAGGAGGAGGGGCUGGCGGCCACUAGUCGGCCUCCCCCUGGCCGAUAGCCCUAUCGGCUACGCCAGGGCCGACAGGCUUGGCCGACUGGCCUGUCGACGUGGUCUGGCCAGUAGUCGGCCGCCACGUGGCCGAGAGGCCCUUAUCGGCUUUGCCUAGGCCGACUGGACCCCUGUCGGCCGCGCCGACCCGACUGGAUCCUAUCGGUGACACCAGGGCCGAGGCAGACCCAGAUUUGAAAAUUUUCAAAUGGGCGCAUUAUUUUUCAAAAAGAAUAAAAAAAUACAAUAUUAAAAAAAAAUUAGCUGGAUACUGACCGUCUUCCAUGAAAACUGAUAUUAUAAAGAUCCAAGGAAAAACUGUACUCUAGCGCAUUCCCUAUACCUCCACUAUCCCUAAAAGGCUAAAACUGUUACAGGUCACUAAUAUAUAAACAUGCCUCUAGACUUUAUUCUAUAUUUAAAGGAAGGAUGAAUUUUUUUUUUACGAUGCAGUCUAUCCACAAAUGUUUUGGCGCCAAAACAUUUUAGGACGUGCCUGAUCUCCCACCACCGCCCUCCUCACCACAUUGCCACCGUUCCGGUGGUCAGAACGGCACUAUCUGUCACAACUCAACUCCACGGACAUUCCUGCGGUAACCCCACAUCACCGCCACGUGUCAAUAUCUGUCAAACUCAACUCCACAGACUUGUUCCUGUUGUAACCCCGCCUCAUCUCCACUGGUAUGUGUAGGGGCUGUUUGGUUGGCAGCCCCAGCUUGCCAUGCCUAACAUUAGGCGAGCCACAAGUCCGUAGGCACGUGUUUGGUUCUGCGCUGAGAUUAGGCUCGCCACAACAUGGAGGGGAUUCUGCCGCAGAAUUUUUCGUCAGAUGUGUGGCGCUCAUUUUUCCCGCUGCACCGCCCGCGGCGCGCCAACGCAGCCGAGAAAAAUCCCCCCCCAAACGCCAACGUCGUUAAAGUCGCCCCUUCCUUUUUUCCCCAUCCUCCAGUUCGUUGCUCCCCUCGCUCUCACUACAACCCCAUGACAGAGAGCUUCCCCUGAAUUUCUAAUUGAUCUCGUUGAAGAUAAGAUGCAAUAUUAUACUAGCUGGUACAUUCCUCCCCUCCGCAGCAAUCAUCUCAUCCAUCUCAUCUCUCCCUUGGCUCAUAUUCAUCACGUAUGUGCAGAUCUGGGCCUCUAUAUUUUUCAAGAAAAAACAACAACCAUCUACCAAGAUCUGAGCGAUUUCCCAAUAUAUUCGGCUGAUUGUUUGUAUUCCUAUUGUGCGUAUACUACUGUCUUCUCUCUCAGAUUCAGAGGUCAAAUUUCUGUCAAGAGAUAAGGUAACAACACACCCCCUUCUGUAUUUUGCUUCAUGUGUGUACGAGUGACAGAACAAAUAAUCAAUGCAAUGUAAAAUAUGUUGUGUGAAUAUAAGAUUUCGAGUUUCCUAUGUUAUUUUCUCAAAGAUCUGGUGCAUCAUAGGUUCUUUGCUUGAGUAAUUAAAGUUCCCCUCUGUUCAACUCUUUUCAGAUAAUUUUUUAUGUACUUAUACACACUGAUGCCAUCAUAGUUUUAUUAACUGUAUUAUUGUUUCAUAGAUGGAUCCAAGUAUAUUAUGCUUACAAUAUUACACGCAUUACUAUCUGUACCACAUGUGGAGGAGAAGAUUGUUUGCUGCCAUUAUUGUGUGUUUAGCCAUGUACUGGUACAAGAUUAAUAUUCAAAAAAGGAAGAGAAAAUAUGUAACUUAUGCUCCCAUGCUCGAACGAGAUGUUGAAAGGGUGUCACGACUAAACCGUAUGUACUAUGGAACUGAGGCUCACUGCAUAAGUGAGCUGCGCAUGCGGAAAGUUGUUUUUCACAAGUUGUGUGCCAACCUGAGACGUCGUGGUCUGUUGGUGGACACUUUCCAUGUAUCAGUGGAGGAGCAAAUUGCCAUGUUCAUCCAUGUUGUGGGACAUAACUAGAAAAACAGAUCAGUUGGUUUUGAGUUUUAUCGAUCAGGCGAGACAGUUAGUAGGUACUUCAAUGCUGUUUUAGAUGCCCUGUGUGUCCUUGCCCGUGAUGUCAUAUGCAUAAGAUCCAUUGAAACACAUUCGAAGAUAACAAGUAGCUCCAGAUUUCACCCUUACUUUGAGGUAUAUCCAAAACUAUUCAUUAGUAUCUGCAAUCUAUUUAUAGAUUCCAUUCAGUCCAUUUGAAACUAGUUCUAUGUUUUCGUAGGGAUGCAUAGGAGCUCUGGAUGGUACUCAUAUACCGGCAUGUGUGCCUAUCCACAUGCAGGAUAGGUUUAGGGGUAGAAAGUCCAUUCCCAUACAAAAUGUGCUAGCAGCCGUUGAUUCUGACCUAAGAUUUAUAUAUGUUCUUGCUGGAUGGGAGGGAUCUGCCCAUGAUUCUUAUGUGCUCCAAGAUGCCCUAUCUCGUCCCAAUGGCCUUAAAAUACCAGAAGGUGGGAUUCUAACCCAUGGCUUCAAACUAAAACUUGCUUUGGUCCUUAGCUAAUGUGUUAGCAACAUGAUGAUGUAGGUAAAAUUUUUCUAGCGGAUGCAGGAUAUGCUGCAAGACCUGGUAUACUGCCCCCAUAUCGUGGUGUUCGAUAUCACCUAAAAGAAUAUAGGGGAGCUAGAGAGCCGGAGAACCCAAGAGAGUUAUUCAACCAUCGCCAUUCCUCACUUAGAACAACUGUGGAAGAGCAUUUGGUACCUUGAAGAACAGAUUUAAAAUAUUUGCAAGUCAGCCAUUCUUCCCUCUGAAAACACAAAUAAAAAUUGUGUUUGCUUGUUGUGCACUCCAUAACUGGAUCUUAGAUGAUGGUCCGGAUGAGUAUGUCUAUGAUGAUGCUACUUGGUACUCUGCUCUUCCACGGAGUAGAAGAAACCGUCGUGACGUUUACCAGGAGAGUCACGCUUGGGCACACAAAAGGGAUGUACUAGCUCAAAAAAUGUGGGAGGAUAACUUAGCAGAUCAAGAUCAAGACGAUUAAGAAGUGAAUAUGUAAUAUGUCAUAUUUCUAUGUAUCAAACAUGAGUGUUAUUUUGUUAUAUGUGAGACUAUGUUGGUUGUACCUUUGUUAACUUGUUGCACUUAUUUGCACUUUAGUAAAAUUGUUGGUUGUUUCAUGCCUGUUUGCCUCACCACUUUUUGAUUAAAAUGACUCUCUCCGUUAGAAACAGUGAUGGCUAAGGGAAAGGUGAAGGUUGAUGGUGAUGAGAAACAGAGGACUAUUUCUUGGGCUGAUGAUCAGACCAAGUUUAUGUUAGAUUGGUGCAUUGAAUACAUGAAGGAACAACAUGCAGGAUUUAGGUUCAGGAAGCAUCAUCUUAUGAAGUGUGCUGAUGCUUUAAAUAGAAAAUUUGCUAUGGGGGUGACACUUUCUCAAGUUGAUCGUCACUUCAGGCACUACAAAGAAAAUUGGAAGUACAUUGCCGCAGCAAUCAGCAAGAGUGGCAAUGUUUUUGAUGCUAUUAGAUGUGUGGUAACCAUUUCCGAGUCAGAAAAGUCUUGCCUCAAUGUAUGUAUAAUAUAGUUACUUUUUGAAACUUACUAUGAUUGUUGCAUUUAGGAACUUAAUUUCUUUGUUCUUUUGAUGCAGGAUAGAGCAAGGCGCUUGCUUUCCAAGCCUAUCAAGUUUUACUAUGAAAUGCAGGAGUUAUUCACAGUCACUAGUGCUGAUGGUUCUUUGGCCAUGGACCAGCAUACAUGCACAAUUGAUUCUGAUGACUUGGACAGUGAUGAAGGGUUGUAUGACCUUAACAGCUAUCCACAAUAUGAGGGGCCACUUGAGGAGGAUUCUGAUACUUUGCCAACAACAUAUGUUCCUAAAAGGCCUCAAAUUCCUGUAGGUGGUGAUAAUUCCUCAUCUAGCACUAGUCGUGUUGGUACGAAGCGCCCAAGAGGUAGCAGGUCACCUACUAAGAAGCCAUCAAAAACCAAGAGUCGUUUCGUGGAGUCCGCUGAGGAAAUCAACUCCACAUUGAGAUCACUCCAGCAAUCACUUAUUGCCGCUCCUCCUCCCCAAAUGCCCCAAGUUGUUGACCCUUAUGCUAGUUUAUGGCAGAGGUUGGAGGUACUCCCAAUUACCACUGAUCAGAGAAUUACUGUUGGUGUGCACUUAUCUUCCAAGGACAAUGAAGGUUUGCGUAGUUGGUUAUGUAGUGCAAGCGACAAAACUUUUGAAACUUGGGUCUGGAAGUUCUUUAACAAAGAUGACAUUUAGAAGAUAGCAACCUAUGAAGUUUGCAAGUUUCUCACUUGUGAUGUUUAGAAGAUGGCAACUUGUGAACUUUAGAAGAUGACAACUUUUGGUAAUUAGGACAUGAUAACGUGUGAUGUGUCUGCUCACUACUUUUGGGAGUUGAACUUGUGCUAUGACCAUUGCUUUUGGGAAGUGGAUCUUUUGAUGUGUAGUGUAACACUUUAUUGUAACUUGGCUGAAACUUGUGAUAUAUAUGGCUAGAACUAUUACUUUGUGACAUUGUUCUUGAAAACAUCAUUUCGCGACUUUAUGAAUGAUGCUUGAAACUUGCAUGCAUCUAUCUUAUUUUGUAUCUUUAUACUGAUUGGGGUUGCUUAUUUUUACGCUGAUGGGAUUAAUAGAAAUUCUCGAAUCUAUUUUUUAUUGUUAUUAUUGUUGUGACUAAAUAUUCUUACAUUUAUUAGAGCAUGCUAUAUAUGUGUUUUUUGCCAUAUGUGGUAGGAAACCAAACACAGACCACAGUUUUUUGCCAACAUAUGUGGAAGCAAUCCAAACGGACACCACACAAAAUUUGCCACACCUAACCUAAGGCAUGGCUACCAACCAAACAAUUUGAUUUUGCCACAUAUUGGGGCAAGCCACAGGUGUGGCUGGCACCUCACCUUAGGCAUGGCAUUUUAAGUCUCCAACCAAACAGCCCCGUAGUGUCCCUACCUGGUUGUGUGACGCUUUACCCAUAUCAAGCGGUUGGCCAUGCAGAUCUCAUCCAUGACUACUUUGUGCCAAAUCCCCUGCAAUCACGCAUAUAUUCCGGGCCGAAAACUAUACAAGUAAAAAGAUUAUAGGCCGAAAACUAUAAAUAAGAUUACAUGAGAUGAGAAAAAAGGACGCCCAAGACAAGGCCCUGCCUAGCUAGCAGACCGAAGGACGAAUCCAUAGGAGGCACAAGUAGAUCUGGAGUGUUGUCGAAGGAUCACAAUACCAUGACUAAGCAAGCAACCUAACGCACCGCACCAACGUGCAUACCAAACCUCACGACACAACUCAGCAGCAACGAUAAUAAACGAGUGACAACACGAACCUUGUCUGGGGGCUUCGCCUUGAUAAUUCCAAACGAUUAGCAAGUUGGGGAGGCAUCUCACGUCAUCGAAGAGUAAAAAUGUACCAGGAAAACACCAAGAGCACUAAGCUCACCGCAACACAAUGGCCACCAAGGGAGGAACUUGAACAUGCAUAGCAACAUGGCCCAUACCAUGGAAAACCACCCAAGAUGGACACAUAGGAAGCAGGGCAGCAGCAACACAAACCACCGUCGACCCCAAUCGGCCGCACCACCACCAACAAUAGUCCGACAACAAGAAACACCCGCACAACAACCAUGUUGACCUCAAAGAUGAUGCCUGCAAGAAGGGUUGCGACGCUGGUUGCGUCGCCAUCAUUCGUACAGGACGACCUGGACUUGGGUUUCCCCCAGGAUCUCGACGAGGAGGGUGCAAACAACAAAAACAAUGACGCCUCCAAAGAGGUUAGCGGUGCCCACAGGUGUCGCCGCCGUCGCCUCCAGGUGGAGCAAGGCUUUCUCCCAAGUUGAUCUGACACACUCCCGAAGAUCGGUUGAGUGAGGUGGGAGCCGAUCUGCACCACCACAAGACACCAUGGCCGCCCCGACGUUGCCCAUGGUCAGGUUCAGACCACCGUAGGCCGGAUCCGGCAGAUCCUACCCACACACGUUGGGCUUGCCAGAUUCAAGCAUUCUGGGCCAACCCCACACCGCAGCCCCCCACCCCCACCCCACUCCUGCACACGACGAGGCAGAGCAGCCACCAUAGCCAGCCGCACCGAAUGGAGAUCACCGAUGGCCAGCCCGACCGCAUCCAGCCGCAGCCUACCCAUGAACAGAGGCCGACCCCGGCCAGCUGCAGCCGCACCAAGGGACGAGAUGUCGUACCUUCAUAUCUCAUGAGUAAGAAAGCCUCCCGAUGCGGCCAGAAACCACCAAGGCCUCGCCGCACGAGCGGCCGAGGGGCCUAGCCACCAGCACCAACAGCGGCCUCCUUCCAUCGUCGUCGUCUUGCCACCCGGGACCACUGCCCCCGCGAUCGCUUCCCUCCGCGUGAGAAACAGAGAGGCGAGAUCCCCCCGCCACCGUCACCGGCAGCCACGCGGGCUUGCCCGACAACCUCCUCAGGUGGGGGCGAGCUAGAGAAGGGGAGGAAGGGGUGGCAGCGCGCGGAAACCCUAGUCGUCGCCCGAGCUGACGACGCAGGGGCCGAGCGUGAUGAUAUUUCUCGAAUGUAUAUAUAAUUUUUGUAUCAUUCAUGCUACAUUGUUAUCAAUUUCAUACCCUUUUGGCAUAAUUUUUAUCUAAGUGUUCUUUUUUCUCAUGACCCACACAACACAAUCAAGCAAAUACAUGGUGUACCAUGCACAGUCAUGGUGACUUUAAUUUUACACAUCAAGAGCAGACUUAAGGUAGCUCGGAUGAUUAGCUUGUGGUGGAACCAAUCCAUCACGGUUCAAGUCGUAUACUUGGCAUUGAUAAUUGUAUUUUUCUUGUAAUUAUUCUAGGCCCUCCGGUGUCGGCGAUGUGCAUUCAUACAGUGGGAAGAGACUUUUCUCUCGACUACUAAAGCGUGUGUGACGAUUUCGUCAAUCUCAAGAUGAUGUACCGGCUCAGUUUUUUAAAGAUGCUCACAGGGGUAGAAUCUACGUAUGUGUGUUGAUAGGGGCGAAUGUAUGUGUAUAUGUAUGAACAAACUAUGCACACAAAGCAACAUGUGCGUCCGCAUGCAGGAAAAAAGGGGUCCAUUGUCCUUUUCACGUGAUUUCCCUCGCAAGCCGCUCCAUGUUUCAGCUUUCUAAAUGUGACUAAACAAGCUACCAAGUGGUUAAUAAAGUCGGUCUUUAUCGAUGCUUGCCUUGACUGGCUACGCUGGAAUAUUUGGGACAGAGGACCCGUAUGUACGUACGUUAUGUACAUGUGUCAAUCCUAUCUUUACCCGGUAGUAUAACGUGAAUCAUGGCAUGGUUGCCUAUUGUAUUGGAGUAGGUGAGUCGCCGCGUAGGCCGUCGUCGGCGGUGUAGCUCAUGACCAAUGCAAACAUACCCUUUCUUCACAGAAUUAGAACUCAAAUUUAGCAGUCAAGGCCACACAACUUUUUGACAUAUACUCCACUCGUAAAUGGAAGCACCACUAGCCUUUUAUUUAGACGAAAGCAAACGGCCUACAACAAACAUCCAGCGAAGCAGCAUCGAAUCCCACUAGGUUUAUAAUUCUUCAAAACAUGAUUUUCCCGAGAGCUUACUCAAUCCACCUCGUAAGACAUGCAUGCCUUGGCCAUAAACCGACAGGGAGACAUGAUUGCACACGCGCUCAUGGAGCAUACCCCAGCUGCAAGUUUGCAAAGCGUAUAAAAUAGGAACAUGUUUGAGCUCAACAAUCAUAUGUCAUGAAUAAUUACUUUAUGAUUCAGCUUUUGAUGGUUGCAAAGUAUAAUUCAUAGUUCUAUAUUGUUCUCUGUUAUACUCCGUCUAUGCCUAAAUAAUUGUAGUUGGACAGAACUAAACUAGUUCUUCCAACUACAAUUAUUUUGAUACAGAGGGGGUAUUAACCUACUCAUCUUCCUGAGUUUAAACAAAUGAACGAUGAAUGUAGUUGUGUGCAUUGGAUCUAGUAGAUCCAUAUUUUCCGCGUAUUUUUGAGACAGUGAGAGAAGAAAAGUCUUGCCUCACUAUGGAUAAAAUGAUUGCUCGACUUUUUUUCAUAUGUACCACCUGUGGUGUGAGGAAUACAAUUUUCAACUUGUGUUGUUUGGUUUGGGCGGGUAAGGGUACCGUUCAGAGCAUGCCUCUUGGUAAGUACCAUUGCAUGUCUUCCACUAUGGAAAUAAGGAUCUGUGUGGUCUCGGUUGUUACGAGUCCUAGUAUGGGUGCACCCGUCCAUACCCCUGCCGUAUGACAUUCGGGGGAUACCUCGACUGGUUAAGAUAACAUCGCGUGCACUUGUGUUCAGUACCGGUGCUCGGUUUUCUUCCUAUAUCUAUAGAACUGUGUAGCAUCCUCUUGAUAUCCAGUGGAUGACAUAUGUGCAACAAAAAUACAAGGAGAUGUGCAGCAAAAAAACAAGGAGGUGUGGAGCAAAAUCAAUAUUGUGAUAGUCUGUCUUAAUAGGGAUGAUAGACUACUCAUAUCAAUAAUGAAUUCCUUCUUUUCUAGGAUCCUAUUUGGAAAGAACUCUAAAGUUAAGUUUGUUCAUCUUGGAGUAAUUUCAGGAUUACUGACCGACUGGGAAGCUGGUCCCAGGUGCGAACGAGUAAGGACAAAGUGUGCAGAAAAGACUAGUGUUGAUGUGUCAGGCCAAUAAAGAUCCUGUCAGGAUUUACGGCUAAUAACCGAUGCGUGUGUCCGGGGCAUUACACUUAUGGUGCAUCGUCAUUGUGUAAUAAAAUAAGUGCUCACCAUUGAGCAGGAGCUGAUGCACUAAGUGUGGUGUAAGAUCAAAGUUGAAUGUGUUACAGAACCACAAAAAAAUGUUUUGGAAUUGGAAUGGAACAUUGAUGAACUUUUAUGAACCAGUUCUUAUCGAUGUAAGUUUCAUGUAGUUUUGGUUUGUGUUUCGGUAAAUUUUUAUAAAUUACAAAUAGUGAAUGUAACUUUAUGGAACCAUUAUUUUUCAUAGAUGCAAGUUUCAUAUAACUUUUGGUGUCUUAUGUUCUGCCUUCAUGGUUUCUUGUACUUUUGGUACAUGUUUGGAUGUCAUCAUGGUGGUUCGAGACCCACUCGAGAUAUUUCAUUAGUUUGUACAUGGUUACACUAUUUCAUAUCGAUUUUUAUGUAUUUUAGAAUAGUUUGAGUUCCUCUUGCGUUUAUGUUAAAGUUGCACUUAGAUUUGUUGGAAAUUAAUUGAAACCACAACAAAAACUUUGUGUAACAUAAGAAAACAAAAGUGGUCAUUGUCAGAACGGAAAAGGACUUGAUUUUUUUUACAAAGAGUAUAUAUUAAUAUCGAGUAGAUAUCAAUUACACUCAGGCUCUGCAACAACGUAAUGCCCUAAUGGCAUGACGAAUGCACACAGCCAAAAAACAAAAAAAUAACUAAAAAAGAAAAGUCUCGCUACAGAGUUUCAGUACUUGCAACAGCAGCACAACCAUCACCAAGACAACACCUGAUGUUCAAGUACUCCAAAAACGACGCCUCCAAGAAGGAAACAGUGCACAAGCACCGUCGUCGCCCGGUCGUAAAUCUUGAGUUUUCACCCUGGAGAUAAUGCCCGCUCUCCAGCAAUGUCUUCAAUAAGACCAUUGCCAGGCACAACCAAUUAAGGCAGACCUUGCAUUUUCAUCCUGAAAGGUAGGGCCUUGAACUUCACUUGUGAUGUCACCCCCACUUACAUACCACUGCUACGAAUCCUGAAACUCCUAGCAAAUUCCUCAGCGCCGUAGGCUAUAAUCCCCAGUACUAGUCCUUUAAUCUUGGCUUUCAUGACAUUCUCCGCCUCUGACUUUACCAUAUAGUAAGAUAUCUCCUGAUGGAACCAGAUAGCAGAGCUUCGCGCCGCUCUCUCCUUAAUGGAGAACCAAUGGCACGACCGAAUUCCACCCGAUCCAGCAAUCUUCAGGCAUAACACGCCCAUGGGAGUUCGCCGGCGAAGCCUUCCGGAACCCGCCGCUCCGACCAGAUCAGAAAAUUCGUGUAUCGGGCAGAUCUUCGUCUUGGCGCAAGAGGAACACUAGGAUUGUCGCAUUUAUUCAAGCACGCCAGCAGGCCCCACCAUUGCCAUAGGUUUGCAUUACCUUCGGCCAUGACCGCCCGUCCGUCCCUGUCAACCUAUCCACGCCUCCCUUCGGUGCGUCGACAGACGCCGCGCAUGGAAAAGGACUUGAUAGAUUAAAGUUGGACCAAUCUGAAGGAUAUGAUUACUUAGAAAACAUGUGUAUGAAUCUCACAAAAAUGAAUGGUCUAGACUCCAGAUAGACAGGGACGGGAACUUGUAUCUUUUUUGAAGGUAAAGGCCCAAGGUUUGAGUUGGUCAAACCGUUUGUGCUAUGGUCACACAAUAUUAUUCUCGGCCGGCCGGCCGGCCGGAGCAUGUCGUAAGGUAAUGUUGCUUCCAAGCAACCCACGUUAGCUAAGAAUAACUUUACUACUAGUUAGAGAGACCCAGCGCUCAGUUUCGUCUUGCACCGCUGCUUCUUUAUAUACACUUGACGACGGACCACUAUCCUUCAACACAAGCAGCUAGCUAGCAAGUCUCCAAGCUUGGUGAGAGAGGGAGAGAAAGAAGGAGAAGGAUGCUAGAGAUGAAGGCCUGCACGGCCAUAGCUCUGGUGCUCGUUGUAGCAGCACAAUGUGCCGCCCUGGCCACCGCCGCCGGUCCCAGAGUCAUCAUCGUCGGCGCCGGCAUGUCCGGUAAGCCAUACGCUACACACAUGCAUCAUGCAUUUUGCAUGAUAUAUACAUGAUUGCGGGAGGCUGGUUUGAGUGUACAUGUAACGGAUGCAAGUUCUUGUGCUUUGUGUUCUUAGGGAUCUCUGCUGGGAAGAGGCUGUCCGAGGCUGGGAUCACUGACCUGGUGAUCUUGGAGGCGACGGACCGCAUCGGAGGGCGCAUCCACAAGACCAAGUUCGCCGGGGUGAACGUUGAGAUGGGGGCCAACUGGGUGGAAGGGGUGAACGGAGACGAGAUGAACCCCAUCUGGACCAUGGCCAAUGGCACCGGAGGUCUCAACCUGAGGACCUUCCGCUCCGACUUCGACCACCUCGCCAGCAACACCUACAAGCAAGAGUAUGUGCACGUGCUGGUUCUUUGAAUCUCAGUUCCAGAAAUAUUUCACUCAGAUUUAAUGGUUUUUUGUGCCAAAGGGCCCAAGUAUCCGCUCAGAUUUAACUUAGAUCCAACCAAAUAUUAUGAAAAUUAUUUACAUUGUUUCACAGCUGAUCUGGUUAAUUUUCUUGCGUGGACGCGCAGCGGUGGCCUCUACGACGAGAAAGUUGUUGAGAAUAUAAUCGAGAGAAUGGAUGAAGUGGAGGAGAGCGGGAGCAAGCUCUCCGGCACCUUGCACCACAGCGGCCAGCAGGACAUGUCUGUCAUGGCCAUGCAACGCCUCAACGACCAGUACGUAUACACUUCAUAUUACUCCCUGCAUUGUGCUAGCUUCGAACCAUAGAUAAUAAGUACUUGUUAGGGAUUUAGUAAAUGGUUGGAUAUGUAUCCCAGAUCCCAUAGUAUCCCAAACAUGGAAAUAUGAAAGACAUGGGAACAAUAAUGCCACGUUUUCUUGAAUACUAGACUAGAGGAUUACAUGAUCUGCACAUGGAAAAAUAUCGGAUUAUUCACAAGAGAUUUAGUGGAUGGAAGUUUCCAUUGAAUAUAGUGCAACUUAAUCCUAAGGAGAAAAAUCGUAUGGGUUAAAAUUUACGAGUCAAACAAUUCACUUAACAAUUAGAACCCUCCAAAAUUUCUUCGACGGUUCUUGAAUCAAAAUAUGCCCUAACUAGGGACUGAGGUAUUGAAAGUCUCUUUUUCAGCGUAAGGGGUAUUGAAAGUCAGCUGAUGGCUCACGCUCACCCUUACCUCUUAUUACCGUAUGUAGUUGUCUCCACGAACGCCUGAAUAAUACAUCAUCACAUAUACAGUAUAUUGUUGUAUUGAUAUCCGCUUUUCUCAAUAUAUUUUAGACCAGCAAGUGCAUUCCAGCAAAUUUCGUACCACAAUGACCCGGUUAGCACUACUAAAUCAACAUAUUCAUACGUUUUACCAAACGCCAGCCAUUUCCGUAUCCAAGAGAAAAAAAUUAUAUGAGAGUGCCCCAAGUUUUUAAAAGAACUUACUAUUUUUUUCCUUCACCCACCCCAUUUUCGCCUCCCGCGACGUAUUCGGCGAGGCCAGUGGUGUGUGGAUCAUUAGUACCUCUUGCCUCUGAUCCAGCGUGACAAAGCAAGAUUAUAUAUUCAAGUGUGAUAUCACUAACUAUUUUACUGCUCCUAGAGCUUCCUAACAGUUGUAAAAUAAUCCUGUUAGGCCAAGUGCUAAGUACUAUCUUAAAUGGAAAACUAGUCCUCCGACCGACCGUUCCAUCGAUCGGAUCGGCUGGAUGCGCACGCCUGAUGCUACCUUUUGCAAGCAACAGUUUGUAGCUGUCCAAAGUGAAAUAUAUCUUUGUUUUCCGGUGCUUUUUUUUUGGGCAACCUGUUUGCCGGUGCAUUGAUUUGUGCAACCUCUAUUGUGAUGCAGUAUGCCUUCGGGUCCAGCUAGGCCGGUGGACAUGGUGAUCGACUACUACCAGCACGACUUCGAGUUCGCCGAGCCGCCGCGCGUGACGAGCCUGCAGAACACGCAGCCGCUGCCAACGUUCAGCGACUUCGGCGACGACGUCUACUUCGUGGCCGACCAGCGUGGGUACGAGUCGGUGGUGUACCACGUCGCGGGGCAGUACCUCAAGACCGACCGCAAGUCCGGCGCCAUCGUCGACCAAAGGCUCAAGCUCAACACGGUGGCACGGGAGAUCACCUACUUCCCGAGCGGCGUCGCGGUGAGGACCGAGGACAACAAGGUGUACCGGGCCGACUAUGUCGUGGUCUCCGCCAGCCUCGGCGUCCUCCAGACCGACCUCAUACGGUUCAAGCCGCAGCUGCCGUCGUGGAAGAUCGUGUCCAUCUACCAGUUCGACAUGGCCGUGUACACCAAGAUCUUCCUCAGGUUCCCCAAGAGGUUCUGGCCGGAGGGCCCCGGCAAGGAGUUCUUCCUCUACGCCAGCGGCCGGAGAGGCUACUUCCCGGUGUGGCAGCAGUUCGAGACGCAGUACCCGGGGUCCAACGUGCUGCUCGUCACCGUCACCGACGACGAGUCGAGGAGGAUCGAGCAGCAGUCCGACAACCAGACCAUGGCGGAGGCGGUGGCGGUGCUCAGGAAGAUGUUCCCCGGAAAAGACGUGCCGGACGCCACCGAGAUCCUCGUGCCGAGGUGGUGGUCCAACAGGUUCUUCAAG
rnacentral:lncRNA from 1 species